rnacentral:piRNA from 1 species
UGCCCUGAGCUUUCUGGAAGCUCCUUCGUGC